rnacentral:rRNA from 1 species
GACGAACGCUGGCGGCGUGCUUAACACAUGCAAGUCGAACGGAAAGGCCCCUUUGGGGGUACUCGAGUGGCGAACGGGUGAGUACAAGUGGGUAAACCUCCCUUUAAUUCGGGGUAAACUUAAGGAAACGGGGGUAAAAACCGGUAAGGAAUCUUUCUGCCUGGGGGGGGGUGGAAAAGUUCCGGGGGUUUUGGUGGGAUUCGCGGCUUAUCAGCUUGUUGGUGGGGUGGUGGCUUACCAAGGCUUUGACGGGUAGCCGGCCUGAGAGGGCGACCGGCCACAUUGGGACUGAGAUACGGCCCAGACUCCUACGGGAGGCAGCAGUGGGGAAUAUUGCACAAUGGGCGGAAGCCUGAUGCAGCAACGCCGCGUGCGGGAUGACGGCCUUCGGGUUGUAAACCGCUUUCAGCAGGGGCGAAGCUUGUGGUGACGGUACCUGCAGAAGAAGCACCGGCUAACUACGUG